CCUACGGGGGGCAGCAGUGGGGAAUAUUGCACAAUGGGGGAAACCAUGAUGCAGCAACGCCGCGUGAAGGAAGACGGUUUUCGGAUUGUAAACUUCUGUUCUUAGUGAAGAAUAAUGACGGUAGCUAAGGAGCAAGCCACGGCGAACUACGUGCCAGCAGCCGCGGUAUUAUGGAGGUGGCAAGAGUUGUCCGGAAUUACUGGGUGUAACGGGAGCGCAGGUGGGAAGCCAAGUCAGCUGUGAAAACUACGGGCUUAACUUGUGGACUGCAGUUGAAACUGGUUGUCUUGAGUGAAGUAGGGGUUGGCGGAAUUCCGAGUGUAGCGGUGAAAUGCGUAGAUAUUCGGAGGAACACCGGUGGCGAAGGCGGGUAACUGGGCUUUAACUGACGCUGAGGCACGAAAGUGUGGGGAGCAAACAGGAUUAGAUACCCGGGUAGUC
rnacentral:rRNA from 1 species